rnacentral:rRNA from 1 species
CGAACGGGUGAGUAACGCGUGAGGAACCUGCCUCAAAGAGGGGGACGAACAGUUGGAAACGACUGCUAAUACCGCAUAAGCCCACGGGUCGGCAUCGACCAGAGGGAAAAGGAGCAAUCCGCUUUGAGAUGGUCUCGCGUCCGAUUAGCUAGUUGGUGAGGUAAUGGCCCACCAAGGCGACGAUCGGUAGCCGGACUGAGAGGUUGAACGGCCACAUUGGGACUGAGACACGGCCCAGACUCCUACGGGAGGCAGCAUG